rnacentral:snRNA from 1 species
CUGUUCGUUUUGGCAACACACAAACUAAAAUUGGAACAUUACAGAGGUGACGAUGUGGCCCCGUGUAAAGAUGAUAAGCCAGUUCACGGAACAUUCCAUAUUUGU